AGUGGGGAAUAUUGCACAAUGGGCGAAAGCCUGAUGCAGCGACGCCGCGUGAGGGAUGACGGCCUUCGGGUUGUAAACCUCUUUCAGCAGGGACGAAGCGCAAGUGACGGUACCUGCAGAAGAAGCACCGGCUAACUACGUGCCAGCAGCCGCGGUAAUACGUAGGGUGCAAGCGUUGUCCGGAAUUACUGGGCGUAAAGAGUUCGUAGGCGGUUUGUCGCGUCGUUUGUGAAAACCAGCAGCUCAACUGCUGGCUUGCAGGCGAUACGGGCAGACUUGAGUACUGCAGGGGAGACUGGAAUUCCUGGUGUAGCGGUGAAAUGCGCAGAUAUCAGGAGGAACACCGGUGGCGAAGGCGGGUCUCUGGGCAGUAACUGACGCUGAGGAACGAAAGCGUGGGUAGCGAACAGGAUUAGAUACCCUGGUAGUCCACGCCGUAAACGGUGGGCGCUAGGUGUGGGUUCCUUCCACGGAAUCCGUGCCGUAGCUAACGCAUUAAGCGCCCCGCCU
rnacentral:rRNA from 1 species